rnacentral:rRNA from 1 species
AUUGAACGCUGGCGGCAGGCUUAACACAUGCAAGUCGAGCGAGCGGCGGACGGGUGAGUAAUGUCUGGGAAACUGCCUGAUGGAGGGGGAUAACUACUGGAACCGGUAGCUAAUACCGCAUACCAUCAGAUGUGCCCAGAUGGGAUUAGCUAGUAGGUGGGGCAACGGCUCACCUAGGCGCCGAUCCCUAGCUGGUCUGAGAGGACGACCAGCCACACUGGAACUGAGACACGGUCCAGACUCCUGCGGGAGGCAGCAGUGGGGAAUAUUGGACAAUGGGCGAAAGCCUGAUGCAGCCAUGCCGCGGGUACGAAGAAGGCCUUCGGGUUGUAAAGUACUUUCAGCAGGGAGGCGUUACCCGCAGAAGAAGCACCGGCUAACUCCGUGCCAGCAGCCGCGGUAAUAC